rnacentral:rRNA from 1 species
GUCUAUGGCCAUGCCACCCUGAACAAGCCUGAUCCUAUCUGAUCUUGGAAGCUAAGCAGGGUCGGGCCUGGUUAGUACUUGGAUGAGAAACCACCUAGGAAGAUCAGGUGCUAUAGGCA